AAAUCGAGUGGCGAACGGGUGAGUAACGCGUAUGCAACCUGCCCGAUACCGGGGUAUAGCCCAUGGAAACGUGGAUUAACACCCCAUAGUACUUUUAUCCUGCCUGGGAUGUGAGUUAAAUGUUCAAGGUAUCGGAUGGGCAUGCGUCCUAUUAGUUAGUUGGCGGGGUAACAGCCCACCAAGACGAUGAUAGGUAGGGGUUCUGAGAGGAAGGUCCCCCACAUUGGAACUGAGACACGGUCCAA
rnacentral:rRNA from 1 species